GUGGCUGGGUAUGUAUCUGUCUGGCAGACCCACAUCCCAUAGGUGGAUCCUGAAGACUGGCUCUGGAUAAACUGUGAUUGGGGGUGGGGGAGGAUUUCGACUUUGUAUAUAAGAUGCAUUCUCCUAUUCAUUUAUUAGCAAGCCCAGUGCUCUGCGUAGUAACAUUGACAAUGUAACUGGUUCUGAUAUGCUUCUCAGUCAGGAAGACCCCGGAAGGGAGAAGCUGUGUGAUAUCACCAGAUUUAGCUUCCUUAAUCCCAGCAAAUGUUCAUAAGAACUUCCCAAAAGUAUUCAUAUUCAAGCAAAAAGAUAUCAUGGACACUUCUCUAAAUUUCUGGUGCCUCCAGAACUCAGAAAUCAUAGGUGAGAAAAGAGAAGAUAGUUACAGAAACUGAGGAUGAGAUAAAGUAAACGAGCAUGAAAUUUAGCUCUUGAGCUUGCUGGUAGUGAUGGCAAAAAGGGACACGAUGAGUGACAUAGCUUUUUUUUUUUCUGACAAAUAAAACAUACUCAUUCUUCAAGAGAGAGAAAAUUAUUCCUGAGAAGAAAUCUAGAAGGGAUUUACUACAUGGAUCACUCUAUGGAACGUACUCAGUUAUUAAAAGGGAACAGCAAAGCACAGCUCACCCAUAGCCAUUUCCAACAUUCCCUCACCACUAACACCAGGACCACAGAGUUGAAAUGUGACCCAAUGAAAGACAUUUCUCUCUAAAGUGUGAAGUUACUAUGAUCUGGGGUCCUUGCUUCCUUGACAUCUCACCUGAUGUGCGGAUAGAGAGACUAGAAAGGAAGAGCAUGAGGAUGUCCCUUUGAUUCUCUCUCAAAUACCAGGCACCUCAGCCCUGCCUCGGCAAAAGACAAAUGACAGUCAGCCCAAAAUGGACCAUUCUAAGGAGUGCCUGCAUGGAAAUCAUUCAGGAAGCUAUGGAGGGCCCUCAGAGAGCUCGCAGUAGGGAGGUGGCUGCAGUGCCCUGGGAGCGCCAGGGAUAUCCUGGGGGAGGUGUGGCUUGGUAAACAGUGAGAAAGCUGGGAUAGGCCAGAUGAGCCGAUACCUCUGGCUGAAGGCUGAAUGGCUCCAUUAAUAAGAGGAAGUGGGAAAGAAACAUAAGUGGAAGGAGUGUGUUUACAGAAGUGCAUGUGCCUAUUUUGAAUGUUUGGGCAAGAGAGUGAAAUGUGCGGGGAAGUCCCAUGGGAGACUCGCAAUGGUCACCUUUUCCUUCCAGCGGUGUGCCACAAAUUCACGGAGGGACAGCUAUUCUGACAGAAGCCAACACAAGGACGGUCAUGAAGGGAAAUUGCUGCUAAGAAAUAUCAGGCAAUAUAUGAGGUGGCCUGGGAAUGGAGGUGGAAAACAUGCCUCUACGAACUGAUGUAAAUACAAGAAGUACACAGGCAGGAGCUCACGACUUCCAGCCACUACAGGGGACAAAGAGGCUGCAGGAGCUAAAUGUACGAAAUACUGCUUUGAAGGCUCUCAAGACUGGCUGAGAAACGACGAGAACUUUCAGCAGAUCAGCGCAGGCAGCAGCAGCAGCCUUCAGACGGCAAUGCACGUGCAAGAAGCUGGGGGCUGCUGGCCGGUUUUGUUUAUUUUUCCUCUCUCCCUCCCCUCACUUGGCUUCUCCCAAGCUGUGCAGUCAUUUGGUCUGCCUUCUUCGUGCAAGGACUGGCUGUU